rnacentral:tRNA from 1 species
GCAAGAACUGCUAAUUCUAUGCUCCCAUAUCUAAUAGUAUGGCUUUUUCG